rnacentral:rRNA from 1 species
AUUUCCCUCUUUCUUUAUUCCUAACACAUGCAAGUCGAACGGCAGCACAGUAAGAGCUUGCUCUUACGGGUGGCGAGUGGCGGACGGGUGAGGAAUACAUCGGAAUCUACUUUUUCGUGGGGGAUAACGUAGGGAAACUUACGCUAAUACCGCAUACGACCUACGGGUGAAAGCAGGGGAUCUUCGGACCUUGCGCGAUUGAAUGAGCCGAUGUCGGAUUAGCUAGUUGGCGGGGUAAAGGCCCACCAAGGCGACGAUCCGUAGCUGGUCUGAGAGGAUGAUCAGCCACACUGGAACUGAGACACGGUCCAGACUCCUACGGGAGGCAGCAGUGGGGAAUAUUGGACAAUGGGCGCAAGCCUGAUCCAGCCAUACCGCGUGGGUGAAGAAGGCCUUCGGGUUGUAAAGCCCUUUUGUUGGGAAAGAAAAGCAGCAGGUUAAUACCCCGCUGUUCUGACGGUACCCAAAGAAUAAGCACCGGCUAACUUCGUG